AAAGGGACACCAACAAGCGCAGCUUUCACUCCCAGCGAGACCUCAUCAUGAAGUUUUAUCUCUGCAUCUUGGCCUUAAGUUUGGAGGCCUGCUUUGCUGCUCCAGGCCUAGACCCUGCUUUGGAUGACCACUGGCAACUGUGGAAAACAUGGCAUGGCAAGGAGUACCAUGAGAAGGAAGAAGGCUGGAGGAGAAUGAUCUGGGAGAAGAACUUGAAGAUGAUUGAAUUGCACAACCUGGACCACAGCCUGGGCAAGCACAGCUACAGACUAGGAAUGAAUCAGUUUGGAGAUAUGAGUAAUGAAGAGUUCAGGCAAGUGAUGAAUGGCUUCAAAAGCACCAAGAAAGAAAGGAAAUUCACAGGAUCACACUUUCUUGAGCCAAAUUUCUUGGAGGCUCCAAAGUCCAUUGACUGGCGGGAGAAGGGAUAUGUAACUCCCGUGAAGAAUCAGGGUCAAUGUGGCUCCUGCUGGGCUUUCAGUGCGACCGGAUCCCUUGAAGGACAGCACUUCCGUAAAACCGGCCAGCUGGUCUCCUUGAGUGAACAGAACCUCGUGGACUGCUCUCGGCCUGAAGGAAAUGAGGGCUGUAAUGGGGGCCUCAUGGACCAGGCUUUCCAAUAUAUAAAUGACAAUGGUGGCAUCGAUUCAGAGGACUCCUACCCUUACAUUGCAACGGAUAAAAAUAAUUGCUCGUACACGCCUGAAUACAACGCUGCUAAUGACACUGGCUUUGUGGACAUUCUGUCAGGGGAUGAAAGGGCCCUCAAGAAGGCCGUGGCUUCCAUAGGGCCAGUAUCCGUGGGCAUUGACGCAAGUCACGACUCCUUCCAGUUCUAUGCUUCAGGUAUUUAUUAUGAACUAGCCUGUAGUACUGAGAACCUGGAUCAUGGCGUUCUUGUUGUUGGUUAUGGUUUUGAGGGUGUAGAAGAAGAUGACAACAAGAAGUACUGGAUUGUAAAAAACAGCUGGGGCGAAACGUGGGGUGACAAAGGCUAUAUCUUGAUGGCUAAAGACAGACAUAACCACUGUGGAAUAGCCUCAUUAGCAAGCUAUCCUCUAGUAUAAUUUUGAAGGAAAAGGAGUCGCUGGAAUCUCCGUAACAGUCUUAAAACUGAGAAAAGACGAACCACUGGAAUAAGCUCUCCAGCCUGUUGGGAGUCGCUGGAAUCUCCGUAACAGUCUUAAAACUGAGAAAAGACGAACCACUGGAAUAAGCUCUCCAGCCUGUUGGGUCUCUCUGAGGCCUCCAAAGUAUCUUGCACCAGAAAGGACUUUAAAUUGUUGAUUGCUCAUCACAAGUACAUGGGUUUUAUCUGUAUCUUCCAAGAUCUGUAGUUCUUGUUGUUAUCCGGAACCUCUGAUUUUUAUGUGAUGGUGGUUAAAAACAACUCUUUCUUUAAAAACUCGAAUGUAAAUGUUACUGAUGUACACAGGCUUGUAAUAUUGGUAGCUUGCAAUGCAGCUAAAACACAGAAUCUUUUUUACUUUUAUGUUUUGUAAAUAACAGCAACCUGCACGAAUUUAGAGCUUUCCAAAUAAACAUUUCAGUAUGGUCCAGAUGAGUUGUAGCUGUUAUUUGUAUUUGAAGCCUAUC